UACGUAGGGGGCUAGCGUUGUCCGGAUUUAUUGGGCGUAAAGAGCGUGUAGGCGGCCAGGUAGGUCUGGUGUGAAAACUCGAGGCUUAACCUUGAGAUGUCAUCGGAAACCAUUUGGCUAGAGUCCGGAAGAGGAAAGUGGGAUUCCUGGUGUAGCGGUGAAAUGCGCAGAUAUCAGGAAGAACACCAAUGGCGAAAGCAGCUUUCUGGGACGGUACUGACGCUGAGACGCGAAAGCGUGGGGAGCGAACCGG
rnacentral:rRNA from 1 species